CUAACAUGUGCGCGAGCCGCGGGGCAGUACGAAACCCGUAAGGCGAAAUGAAGGUGAACGCCGGCGCGGUCCGGCGGAGGUUGGAUCCCGUCCCGUCGGGGCGGGCGCACUACCGGCCGAUCUUCUCCGCCCUGUCGGCGAGGUCGAGCGAGAGCGUGCAAGUCGGGACCCGAAAGAUGGUGAACUAUGCCUGAGGAGGUUGAAGCCAGAGGAAACUCUGGUGGAGGACCGUAGCGAUUCUGACGUGCAAAUCCCAUUGCCUCGUCGAUUUAUUUUGCCGGGAUGUGGGUGGGAGCUGUGGUGUCUGGAUACGCGGCUGAUUAGUAAUUGAAUAACUUGGGAGUAUAUUUAAAAUCAUACUAAAAUGCGAAAUCUCCUAGCAUUGGUCGUAAGAACACAAUGCUUCUUUCAUCAAUUGGAACAUUAAUAUCUGG
rnacentral:ncRNA from 1 species